CACACUGUAAACGAUGAUAACUCGCUGCCGGCGAUACACAGUCGGUAGCCAAGCGAAAGCGAUAAGUUAUCCACCUGGGGAGUACGACCGCAAGGUUGAAACUCAAAGGAAUUGACGGGGGCCCGCACAAGCGGAGGAACAUGUGGUUUAAUUCGAUGAUACGCGAGGAACCUUACCUGGGCUUAAAUGUAGAGUGCAUUUUCUAGAGAUAGAAAUUCCCUUCGGGGCUUUCUGCAAGGUGC
rnacentral:rRNA from 1 species